rnacentral:rRNA from 1 species
UACGUAGGGUGCAAGCGUUAAUCGGAAUUACUGGGCGUAAAGGGCUCGUAGGCGGCCAACUAAGUCAGACGUGAAAUCCCUCGGCUUAACCGGGGAACUGCGUCUGAUACUGGAUGGCUUGAGUUCGGGAGAGGGAUGCGGAAUUCCAGGUGUAGCGGUGAAAUGCGUAGAUAUCUGGAGGAACACCGGUGGCGAAGGCGGCAUCCUGGACCGAUACUGACGCUGAGGAGCGAAAGCCAGGGGAGCAAACGGG